rnacentral:rRNA from 1 species
UACGUAGGGGGCAAGCGUUGUCCGGAUUUAUUGGGCGUAAAGAGCGUGUAGGCGGUUUUACAGGUCCGCUGUGAAAACUCGAGGCUCAACCUCGAGACGUCGGUUGAAACCACCUGGCUAGAGUCCGGAAGAGGAGUGUGGAAUUCCCGGUGUAGCGGUGAAAUGCGCAGAUAUCGGGAAGAACACCCGUGGCGAAGGCGGCACUCUGGGACGGUACUGACGCUGAGACGCGAAAGCGUGGGGAGCGAACAGG